rnacentral:rRNA from 1 species
GACGAACGCUGGCGGCGUGCCUAAUACAUGCAAGUAGAACGCAGUUGCGAACGGGUGAGUAACGGGUAGGUAAAUGCCUGGUAGAGGGGGAUGACUAUUGAAAACAAUAGCUAAUAACGCAUACUACAAGAUGGACCUGCGUUGUAUGAGCUAGUGGGUGGGGUACCGGCUAACCAAGGCAACGAAACAUAGCAGACCUGAGAGGGGGAGCGGCCAAUCGGGUACUGAGCACCGGCCCAGCCUCCUACGGUAGGCAGCAGUAGGUAAUCUUCGGCAAUUGACGGAAGUCUGACCGAGCAACGCCGCGUGAGUGAAGAAGGUUUUCGGAUCGUAAAGCUCUGUUGUAAUAGAAGCGGUAUCUUACCAGAAAGGGACGGCUAACUACGUGCCAGCAGCCGCGGUAAUUC